GCUAACUACGUGCCAGCAGCCGCGGUAAUACGUAGGGGGCGAGCGUUGUCCGGAAUCAUUGGGCGUAAAGCGCGUGUAGGCGGUUACAUAAGUCUGUUGUGAAAGUCGGAGGCUCAACCUUCGAAAGCCGAUGGAUACUGUGUGACUAGAGUCCGGAAGAGGAGAGUGGAAUUCCUGGUGUAGCGGUGAAAUGCGCAGAUAUCAGGAGGAACACCAACGGCGAAGGCAGCUCUCUGGGACGGUACUGACGCUGAGACGCGAAAGCGUGGGGAGCAAACAGGAUUAGAUACCCCAGUAGUC
rnacentral:rRNA from 1 species